UACAGAGGGGGCGAGCGUUAUUCGGAAUUAUUGGGCGUAAAGGGCGCGUAGGCGGUAGCACAAGUCAGUUGUGAAAUCUCCGGGCUUAACUCGGAAAGGUCAACUGAUACUGUGCGACUAGAGUGCAGAAGGGGCAACUGGAAUUCUCGGUGUAGCGGUGAAAUGCGUAGAUAUCGAGAGGAACACCUGCGGCGAAGGCGGGUUGCUGGGCUGACACUGACGCUGAGGCGCGAAAGCCAGGGGAGCAAACGGG
rnacentral:rRNA from 1 species